AUUGAACGCUGGCGGCAGGCCUAACACAUGCAAGUCGAGCGAGCGGCGGACGGGUGAGUAAUGUAUGGGGACUGCCCGAUAGAGGGGGAUAACUACUGGAAACGGUAGCUAAUACCGCAUACUAUCGGAUAACCCAUAUGGGAUUAGCUGGUAGGUGAGGUAAUGGCUCACCUAGGCGACGAUCCCUAGCUGGUCUGAGAGGAUGAUCAGCCACACUGGGACGGAGCCACGGCCCAGCUUCCUACGGAGGCAGCAGUGGGGAAUAUUGCACAAUGGGCGCAAGCCUGAUGCGGCAAUGCCGCGUGUAUGAAGAAGGCCCUAGGGUUGUAAAGUACUUUCAGUCGAGAGGCGUUACCGAAAGAAGAAGCACCGGCUAACUCCGUGCCAGCAGCCGCGGUAAUAG
rnacentral:rRNA from 1 species